GGUUGUGUAGUGUAGCGGUUAGCACUUUGGAUUUUGAUGGGCAAUCAGUCUUUCCAACAACCCCGGUUCGAACCCGGGCACGACCU